rnacentral:lncRNA from 1 species
UUUUGAAUGUCGGAGAAAGCAUUUGGUGUUUUGUUCAGAGGAACAUUGCUUAUCUGCACCGAAUAAUAAAACAAAAAUUGGCAACAAUUAGAGCUUUUGCAUUUUCCUGUAAGUCUUUGGACUGUGAUUAAUGAAAGGAGACAUGGAUGCGUUUCAGGAAUGACAGUAUUAAAGAGCUGUCAGAACAUUAAUAUCGGGACGAGAACUGGCCAAAGAUGGUGCCCCUUUCAAACAGCAGCUGGAAUUAAUUUCUGGUAACCCAGUUUCUAUCAAAUUUUCUCAUAACCUGAGAAUUUGCUUACGAGUACAUAUACCAUCUAACUACAAGCCGAUGGUUUGCUGUUUUCUAAAUUAGCAGAAGAUGAACAAUCUCUUCAAGGAAUAAGCAAUUACUCAACAGGUUAUCUUAUCACAAGCAAUUGACUGCUGGUUUCUUCUUUGCAUCUCAUAGCUGCCUUAUGAAUGCCUUAAAGUUUGAAAGCUGAAAACAAGUGUGUUGGUUACUUAACAAUACGUGUGGCAUAAACCCAUGUGCGUUUAAGUGCCACUUUUAGUUUGAAUACUUUAGAUGUUUCUCAAAAUGCACUUUCUGAUAAAGAUAUUUAAAAACGACUCAUCGAAAAAUAGUAAAAUUUCUUUUAUGAUUAUAAAGUGCUUCUUAUUGUAUUUGCUAAGCAAUACUAAAUACUUUGCCUUGAAUAUAAGAGAUUUACAUUGCCUUAUCAAGCUGAAAUUUUUAUUUAAAAGUUUUAAUAAUUUAUAUCAUAAUAAUUUAUAAAUCACUUGAUAUAUGAAUGAAGAAAUUAAAUGAAUUUGGAAUAAGACACACUUAAAAACUGUUCUUUUUUAUUAGAAACGCCUUGUGGCGAUUUCCUGCUGUUAGAUUUCUAAAUACCAUGUAACUUAAUUCUUAAUAAGUUCAUUGGUAUGCUUAAUGAGCGCGUUUUAUACUUUCACUCAUCUGUUAAGUUUACUAACAACAUAAUAAUUUGCUUUUUCCUGCAUACAUAUUAAACUAUUGCUCUUGAUUGCUUAUUAUGAGGAAUACAUUUUUUAUUUUCUAGUUUACUGAAUUUCUUUUUCUUUUGAAACUAUUGUAUAAAUUUCAUAAUAAAUUUUAU